rnacentral:lncRNA from 1 species
GCGAACCUGUCGAGAGGGUAAAAAGGAAAAUGCCUCUCCCGUUCUCUCUUCCCUCUCUAAAUAUGCUCUCGUUGAAUCUCUCAUCUCUCUCUAAAACCAGAUAGAAUGUAAAUCUCUUCAAUCUCCUCCUCUCGAGCAGGAGAAUGGAAAAGGAGUCCACCUCACUAAAGACAAGCACAAAGGCAAUGAAAGGUUUUUUCUCUCUCUAAAAUAUGGUUCCAAUAGCGGUUUUUCUCCAACCAGGAUUGGGACGUAUGAGUAUUGAAUGGCCUUUUCUCUCUCUAAAAUAUAGUUCUAAGGGUUUUCCUCCAACCUAAACUGGGGCACAAGAGUUCUGAAAGGAAUUUUCUCUCUCUACAAUCAGGUUCGAUGGAGAUUUUCUAUCGAAAACAAGGGCACAGAUUUUUAUCUAGCAUGUACUCUAUCUCUCCACCUCUCGCUUUCUUCUCUCUUCUCUCCCAUCGCCUCUUCUAUUUUCUCUUCUCUCCCAUUGCCUCUUCUAUGGACUAUCCAAUUUCGUUAUCUAUCUUCUCUCUUCCCUCUUUCCCCUCAAAAAAUGAGAGAAAUACUCAAAUAUACCACUGUGAAUCUUCUCCACAAAGGCCUCCCCUGAAUUUUAUUUUACGUAGGACACUUACCGAUUGGCGUUUACAUCUAUUACUCUUAUCUUCCUCUCGUUUUUCUCCAUAUCUGUUACAAAAUGGAGCUUUUAUCUAAGAUGAGAUAUUUAGUGAUUAAUAUUUUGAUUGAAAGUUAUGGAUUCCAUUGAACUUUGUAGGUUUUCAUUCAAAGUUUGAAGAUUUUUUUUGCCCUUGCACGACAGGAUUUGCAAUUUGCAGGUACGUCUGUUUUUCUUUUCUUUUUUCUUUUUUUCUGAAAUUUUAUGAUAUAUUGUCGAUUUUUUUGAUACACUUUUGUUUUCUUGCAGUGAAAUUUAUGGAAAAUGAAUAAUUUCUUGCAAAGAUUUUGACUGUCGAUAUUAAUUGUUUUCUUUAUUUUUGACAUGAUGUGGAUUUUCCUAAAAAUUCUGGGGGCACAUGCUUUUAUUUUUGGCUUAUAAAUUGCUUAGAAAACGAACAUAUUUAUGUGGUAUCCGUUUCUUUAUAUUUAAGAAAUAAUUAUAUGGAAUUAUCGAUGAUCAGUUUUUUUGGAUGCAUGCUCAUUGAUUUUGCUAUUUAUUGGAGUCAUGUGGUACUUGUAAAUCCUGAAUGUAAUUUUCAAAACAAAAAAUUGUUGAUGAGAAUGCCCAAAUUUCAUUUUGGUUGAAUAAGUUGAAUCAUCAUCUCUGCGUUCCUAGGAGUUUUUAGUUGAGCACAUUUUGUGCCCUCAAUGUCUAAUUGCAUGGUUGUAGGCCCCUACUGGCUAUGGCAGGCAGUAUGCUUGUUUUUGCCAUUCAAACAUUUAACAUGAUGCCUGCAUCCAAGGAGGUUAACCAUACACUUACUUGUUCAGUUUUCGGGACCUCAAAAGUGUUCCUGUCAGGAUUUGGCACACCUCGAAGGCGUCUAUGGGGGAAUUAAUAUGCUUAACAAUAGAUGAAAGUUGGGUUUCCCCACGGGCUUGUCCCUCACUUCAUUAGCCAUUACCCAUUCUUUUUAUUUUCAAGUUCAAUUGGUUAUUCAACUCUCAUGUAAUGGUUAUCCGGCUUUGAUUUGUUUCACAUUAACAUGAUUUUAGGGGCUGCUUCUUCUUGUAAUCGUGCCGGUGCAAAUGUUGAAACAUGUAAAGAUCUUAAUUGGACCAAGCAUACUUACAGGAACAACAACGCCUAAAUUUGGAACAACCCACAUUCUGCAAGAAUAUAAUUGAAACUGGGAGUAAAAUACAUUUGUCGUAUUAAACUGAGCUAAAAUUUCUCCUCUAUCUCUCUUGAUGGGGAACUUUGUGUCACAAAGUAUAUGGUUGAUGUAAAUAGACCCGAUCUAGAUUGCAUCCCAUCAUGAACAGAACCUCUAUU